UAGAACAAUAGAAUUGAAUUAUAUUAUAUCAUGGAUUCCAUGAGUCAGGAAUUCAAGCAGGGCUCAGACAGGUGCUUCUUCUGUUCUCUAUGGUGUCACCUGAGGUCACACAAUGACACCCAGCUGGCAGAUGGCUGGUCUAGAGGGUCAAGGGUGGCUCCAUUCGUGUGCCCAGUGCCCUGGCGUGGGUGGCUGGAAGGCUGGACUCUGCUGGCACUUUUAACCAGAGCACCUCCCUAUGGCUUCUCCAGCAUGGUGACCUUGAGGUCAUUAGACCUCUUACGUGGCAGUGGGCUCCACCACCCUGGGAGAAGUGUCAAAAAAUAUUCUGCUUUUCACAACCACAACUCCUGAAGUACCUCUCUUGCUAGAGGAAAUACCAGCUCCAAGAGGAGUACAAUUUUACAAGAAGGAUUUAUCCCAGAAUUGCUGCUCCCCGAAAGGUGACCUGCUUCACUUUCAAUCUGGCUGAUUCUCAAAACACAGUUCCUAUGUCUGCUGUUCUUUGCAAAUAAGUCUCAUUCUUGUUCAUUACACGCAGACAUUCAGGACCAGAAAAACAAUUUUUUUCUUUGAACAUCGGUUUAUUGGGGAACACUUCCACACCCCAGGAGUGGGCAGGAGGAAGAAUGGCAGUGUGCCAGCCCCCCAGGACGGGUGAGACUUCCUGCCACACCCUGCCUCCCUGGCCCAGCAGAGACGGCUCAGACCCUGGCAGCUAAAUGUUUACCCAGAGUCUCAGAACUUUAAAGCCCAACAUAAGAUUACAGAGCUUUACUUUGAAGAAUUUGUUAUGGAAAAACAGAGCACAUUUCUCCUUACCCCACUUCCCACCCCGUUUUUUUGGGUUUUUGUUUUUGUUUUUGUUUUUGUUUUUGUCUUUUUAGGCCCACACACACAGCAUAGGAAGUUCCCAGGCUAGGGGUCAAAUCAGAGCUGCAGCUGCCAGGCUACACCACAGCCACAGAAACACCAGCCUUUAACCCACUGAGCGAGGCCAGGGAUCGAAUAUGCGUCCUCAUCGAUAUUAGUCAGAUUCAUUUCCACUGAGCCAUGACAGGAAUUCCCCCACCCCAUUUUCUUAAUCUAGAAAUACAUUCUAAGAGUCCCCAGGACCCAACUUGUUUGUUUUUUAAUUUUUUUUAUUAUAGUUGAUUUACAAUGUUCUGUCAAUUUCUGCUGUAUAGCAAAGUGACCCAAUUAUGCAUAAAUAUAUAUAUAUUUUUUCACAUUAUCCAUCAUGUUCCAUCACAAGUGAUCAGAUAUAGUUCCUUGAGCUAUACAGAAAAAUCUCAUUGCUUAACCAUUCCAAAUGCAAUAGUUUUCAUCAUUUGUUUGUUUGUUUGUUUGUUUUUUUUUUGGUCACACUUGCAGCAUAUGGAACUUCCCAGGCCAGGGAUUGAAGUCGCUGCAUUGACAACACCAGAUCCUUAACCCACUGUGCCACAGCAGGGACCCAAGCCGCUGCAGUGACAGCACCGGAUCCUUAACCCGCUGCACCACAGGAGAAAUCCAGGACUCAGAUUUUUUCCCAAUCAACCUGAGAUUCUGUACUGGGAAGGGGUGGGGGUCAGGGGGAGAGACUCAGGAGGUUAGAGGGAGUCUCUCCUAGAGAAAGAAGGAAUCAGGGAGAAAAGAGAAGGGCUGGCACCUGAGAAAAGAUGAAAAGAGACAGGAGGGCUGGUUGCCACCUUGGCUUUUUGAAGGAAAGCCGUUUUCUCCUCCAGGACCCACCCUCAUCACCCUCAGUCUAGGUUACUGGGUGCAGCUGAUUUCACACCUGCCCAAGGAGUCAUAUGAUCCAGGUCUAGCCAAUCAGUAUAUUCUCUCCUGCCGGCCACAGUGAUUGGUUCAGGUUUGGGCAUGUGAUCCAGGCAGUCCAAUGGGUUUCAACAUGGGAACUCCUGUUGGAAUUUGCUAAGAGGGGCAGAAAGCUUUCUCUCCUCUCAGCCCUAUAGGACAUAAGCCUGGAGCUGCAAGUAUUCAUCUUGGGGUCAUGAGAGGAGAAGGCAUCUGAGAAUGUGGUAGAUACAGAGGAGGGCAGAGCUGAUAUGGAGGCAGAGAACUGAUGACAUCAUGGAGCCCCGGGACCCAGCCACACUUAAAGUUAGUCCUAGCACUUGAGCUUUCAAAACUGUAAGCCAAGAUUAUCCUUUUUUUUCACUUGAGGAUUGGGGUUUCUCUUAUUUGUAGCCAGGAAAACCCUGAGUCAUGACUGAAAAAAGCAGACGCCAAAGAGAAUGAGACCAUGCUGAGCAGGUAAAUGGUGAGCAGGAAGGAUGAGACAGGCAAGCUCUGAGCCCAGAAAAUGAAAACUGGGGCCAAGCUGUCUCUUGCACUCUCCCCAAAACACAUAAUUUACAGUUUGAGCCAGAGAAAGAAAGAGUGGGAGGAAACAGAGGGAGGGCGUCCCGAGAUGAAGUUUGGAAAUUGUUCCAGGGCAUAAUGAAUUGACGAACAACUGUUUCUCCCCUGGAAGUCAUCUAAUGAAAUUAUAAGACCAUGCACUUACUGCUGUGAUGGCCGAGAGCAUGCUCCAAGAUGAUCAGCCGUGACAAGGAGCUGUCGCUUAGCUGGUAGUGCAUUUUAAGCAUCAUCUAAAGGGGACUUUACUUACCCACUUACGAAAGCCUUGGUUUGGGGACCAGGGCUUUUCAGAACGAGUUUGCACUGAUGUAAACGGCCACCGUGGCUUAGAAAGAACCGUAGCUCAUCAAUAGCAGUUAGGGCUGCCUGGCCGGACCCGACAGGCUCUCGCUUGCCUUGGCAGUGUGUUCAGCACCUAUUUGCCUGAUGAACCAGAACCAGUGCUCAGGGUAACAGGGUGGUGCUGGGCAAGGGCAACAGGGAGGAUCUGGAUUGGACACCGGAUGGAUGGAAGUCUUUCCUAGAAGUCAGUUCGCCAGUUUUCUCCUCCCCUCCUCUCUUUGGUCACCUGUGGGAGGUGACCAGGGGCACAGAACCUGGCAGCCCUGGCCAGUCCUAAUGCUCCCUGGAGCUGCUGUGAGGAGUUGGAAGGACAGGGGUGGGGAGGGAGACGACGGCACAAGGUGGCCUGCGGAGGAAGAGGGCAGCUGGCCAGCAGGUGCUGGGGUAUUUGAAGUGAUGCUCAGGCCAAGGCACUUUACAAGAGAGCCAGCACCGCAGGCAUUCGAGUGGCUGUUGUUCCAGGCCAUCUGUCUCUCAUUAAUGAAGUUGUCCAGCACGGCUUAUUAAUAAGGAUGCGUGGGCUUAGCCAGCCUGGGCCGUCUGCUGGAACUAAAGGGCAUGAUGAUUAAGCCUUAACGACUUCCUCAGGCACAGUCAGUAUGAAGUGGGCAUGUGGCUGGAGGAGAGGGCUGGGGUCCCAGGCCUGACCUGAGCCCUGGGAGGCAAGCUGGUCACCUGAGGAGGACGAGCCCAGUCCAGGGGUGGUCAACAACCAGGAGUCCCAACUACUCAUUCUGCCUGCUCAGAUUCCCACCUUCCUGACCACCCCCCUCCCCUUCCUCACCUACAGCCCCGGCUGAGGUGGGCAGAAUGAUGCCCCCCAUCCCGCCAAGGAUGCCAACAUCCCAGUCUCCAAAACCUACAAAAAUGUUAGGUUGUACAGCCAAGGGUAUUUAAGGCUGCAGAUGGAAUCAAGCUUGCCAAUGAGUAUAUGUUAAAAUAGGGGUAAUGAUGGAGUUCCCAUCAUGGCUCAGCGGAAACGAAUCUGACUAGGAACCAUGAGGUUGUGAGUUCAAUCCCUGGCCUUGCUCAGUGGGUUAUGGAUCCGGCGUUGCCGUGAGCUGUGGUGUACGUUGCAGACGCGGCUCGGAUCCCGCGUUGCUAUGGCUCUGGUGGAGGCCGGCGGCUACAGUUCCAUUUAGACCCCUAGCCUGGGAACCUCCAUAUGCCGCGGGGGCAGCCCUAAAAGGACAAAAGACAAAAAAAUAAAAUAAAAUAGGGACUGUGAGAAUGGAGGAAUUAACUACCUGCCCAGGCAGCAGGGGGCCCCUAGAAGAAGAAAGGCAAGGAAGGGGUGCCCCCCUAGAGACUCCUCAAGGAACUCUGCCUGUGGACACUCUGAUUCCAGCCCAGGGAGACCUGCAUCAAAAUUCUGACCCCUAAAACUAUAAUACACUUGUGUUAAGUCUGUGAUCAUUUGCUCCAGCAGCGGCAAGAAACUAAGCGAGGCAUAAUAUUGCAGGUUCUGUCCAGACCAGCACAACAAAGCUAGUCACAAGCAGUUUUUGGUUUCCCAGCACAUAUCAAGGUUAUGUUUACACUAUACUGUAGUCUGUAAACUGUACAACGUUAUGUCUAAAAAUAACAAUGUACAUACUAAAACUAAAAAAAUAUUUCAUUGCUAAAAAUGCUGUCAUCUGAAAAAUACUUUAUUGCUAAAAAAUGCCGUCGUCUGAGCCUUCAGCGAGUCAUAAUCUUUUUGCUAGUGGGGAUUUGAAAUAUUGUAAGAAUUAUCAAAAUAUGACAUGGAGACAGGAAGUGAGCAAAUGGCACCAAUAGAUCUGCUUGAGCAGAGUUGCCACAAACUUUCAACUUGUAAAAAUGAAAAAAAACAAAAACAAAAAUGCGGUAUCUAGGAAGCACAAGAAAGCAAAGCGCAGUAAAAUGAGGUCUGCCCUUACAAAAAGGUCAUAGGUCGUCUUUAAAAACACUCAGUGAGUUCCCGUCGUGGCGCGCAGUGGUUAACGAAUCCAACUAGGAACCAUGAGGUUGCGGGUUCGGUCCCUGCCCUUGCUCAGUGGGUUAACGAUCCGGCAUGAGCUGUGGUGUAGGUUGCAGACGCGGCUCGGAUCCCACGUUGCUGUGGCCGGUGGCUACAGCUCCGAUUCAACCCCUAGCCUGGGAACCUCCAUAUGCCACGGGAGCGGCCCAAGAAAUAGCAACAAC
rnacentral:lncRNA from 1 species